AGUCUUUAUGACCGGAAGGGAUUCCUUCUGGUCAUCGAGACUGUGGAGUCUUGAUGACCGGAAGGGAUUAUCAAGACUGUGGAGUCUUGAUGACCGGAAGGGAUUCCUUCCGGUCAUCGAGACU
rnacentral:miRNA from 1 species